rfam:Cavia porcellus supercont2_38 genomic scaffold, whole genome shotgun sequence.
CCAAAGGCUCUUUUAAGAGCCACCCAUACGUCCACAAAGAGAGCUG